rnacentral:rRNA from 1 species
UACGUAGGGAGCGAGCGUUAUCCGGAAUUAUUGGGCGUAAAGGGUGCGUAGGCGGAUUUGUAAGUCAGCGGUAAAAAUUCGGGGCUCAACCCCGUCCGGCCGUUGAAACUGGGGGCCUUGAGUGGGCGAGAAGAAGGCGGAAUGCGUGGUGUAGCGGUGAAAUGCAUAGAUAUCACGCAGAACCCCGAUUGCGAAGGCAGCAUACCGGUGCACAACUGACGCUCAGGCACGAAAGCGUGGGUAUCGAACAGG